AGGACUCCUGAAAUUGGCAGCAUGAUGCAUCAUCAUCUUUAAAUUCAAAGUAUUCAAAAGUAUCUCACAGAACAUUAAAGCUGGAAGAAAACAGUAAUGGUCUGGAGUCAAGAAAUGAAGAGGGCAAGCAAUGUUUCUGGCAUCCCAACUACAGUUACAUCCAGUUUGAAGCUGCUGCAAUGGCAGCUCAAUGGAGUGGCUAGGAACACCAACUCCAGGAUCAGGGCCCGGGUGUGGGCACCCGAAGGAAUCUCCUGGUCUGAGGGAUGUGAAGACCAUGGGAAAAGCAUAGUGUCUGGGCAAGAAUGAACCAUUUCUCAUGGAACAGUCCCUCAUUGCUUCCCUUGGCUAGGGGAGGGAGUUUCCUGACAUCUUGUGCUCCGAGGUAAGGUGAUGCCCCACCCUGCUUUCAUUUGUCUCCUGUGGGCUACACCCACUGUCUAGCCAGUCCCAAUGAGAUGAGCUGGUUACCUCAGUUGGAAAUGCAGCAAUCACUUGCCUUCUGCAUUGAUCUUGCUGGGAGCUGCAGGCUGAAACUGUUCCUGUUUGGCCAUAUUGCCAGCCACUGAUUAGUGGCAAUUUUAUAUAUUGGAAAUAUGAAGUGUUGGAGUUUUAU